CCUGGAACUGUCUUGCUAUAGGUAGAAAAUCUUGGAAAAUCCAAUGCAUCUGUUCAGGAAUCAAGCUACUGAAGUACACUCAUUUGGAAGGGUGCUGUCUGUUAGUAUUUCACAGAUUUGUAUGAAACGUGAGAUCCAUGAAGAGUAAAAAAACUCAUCCUGACCUUGCAAAUAGUCAUUGGGUAGGGUGGCAAAAUCUAACCCUACAAAUAGAGCUUCAUUAGGCACAGAAUUUCAGUUGAAACCUUGGAUCCAAUGUGGGAUUUCACUCAAACACAUUCACUCUGUGGGAAAAAGCAAGACAUGAUGUGUUUUGGAGGAAAAAAAGUGCUUUUGCUCCCAGCUUGUACCUCAUUGCUGAGUGUUGUCUACUUGUUUCUUGUGGAGGUUAUCAUACUGAGUAUCUCCUAUGGCUACUCCCACUGAGCUGAUGGGGACUUUGCUUUGACAGCACCACUGGGACUGAGACACCAAGUCCAAUACAACUAUCUCUGUAACGUCUUGAGAUGAGUAUCACUGGAGUUUGCAAGCAGAUCAUCUGGAGCUUAAAAGCAAACCAAUAAUUGUAACAUAUGGGUGAAAGCUUUUUUGAGCCAGUGUGCAGCAAGUAGAAAACUGUAGACUGCUAAUAUCUCCAGUGAAUUUGAUCUCAAGAGCUGAUGGCCAACAUAUGUAUCAUCUAGCAACAAAAGGCUGAAAAGUAAUAACAUUUAAGCCAAGGAAACCCUACAUGACAAAUGCACAGUGGAAAUGAAAAGAAAAAGAAGAUAAAAUAAAAGUCAAGGCUACCUACACCAAAUCACGUAGUGAAAGUUAGACGAUGAACCGUAAAUGAAUGAAGGGAAGUGGAAAGCACUGAAUAGUGAAAAUAUCCAGCUUUUCACAGCUGAGACAUUAUUUGUGAUGAAAUUGGCAUUUAAAAUAAGGCCAAGGUUCAUAAGUCCUCAAAAUUAACAU
ensembl:lncRNA